rnacentral:rRNA from 1 species
GGAUAGUGGCGAACGGGUGAGUACACGUGAGUAACCUGCCCUUGACUCUGGGAUAAGCCUGGGAAACUGGGUCUAAUACCGGAUACGACCGCUCCACGCAUGUGGUGGUGGUGGAAAGCUUUUGCGGUUUUGGAUGGACUCGCGGCCUAUCAGCUUGUUGGUGGGGUAAUGGCCUACCAAGGCGACGACGGGUAGCCGGCCUGAGAGGGUGACCGGCCACACUGGGACUGAGACACGGCCCAGACUCCUACGGGAGGCAGCAGUGGGGAAUAUUGCACAAUGGGCGCAAGCCUGAUGCAGCGACGCCGCGUGAGGGAUGACGGCCUUCGGGUUGUAAACCUCUUUCAGUAGGGAAGAAGCGAAAGUGACGGUACCUGCAGAAGAAGCGCCGGCUAACUACGUGCCAGCAGCCGCGGUAAUACGUAGGGCGCAAGCGUUAUCCGGAAUUAUUGGGCGUAAAGAGCUCGUAGGCGGUUUGUCGCGUCUGCUGUGAAAGACCGGGGCUCAACUCCGGUUCUGCAGUGGGUACGGGCAGACUAGAGUGAUGUAGGGGAGACUGGAAUUCCUGGUGUAGCGGUGAAAUGCGCAGAUAUCAGGAGGAACACCGAUGGCGAAGGCAGGUCUCUGGGCAUUAACUGACGCUGAGGAGCGAAAGCAUGGGGAGCGAACAGGAUUAGAUACCCUGGUAGUCCAUGCCGUAAACGUUGGGCACUAGGUGUGGGGGACAUUCCACGUUUUCCGCGCCGUAGCUAACGCAUUAAGUGCCCCCGCCUGGGGAGUACGGCCCGCAGGCUAAAAACUCAAGGGAAUUGACGGGGGC